CCUUGAUUAUGUAUAAAUAGAUGUACAAUGAGGGCUUAGUACAAGCCCGUCUUCUAGGUGGCGCCUUGCCCGUUCUGAAUUUUUGUAUUCCCCUACGAUUUUCUUUGAGGGGAAUCCGUUAAACCCGCCCAUCGUUCAAAAAUGGAAGGGCGCGAGGUCACAUCUAUUGGGCCACUUAUUAGCACGUUUCACCCAUGUUUUACGAAAAUAGCUUUAUCCUUGUUUGUUUCAACUGUGACAAGAAAAAAGGAAAAAAAGUUAUAUUCGCUUCUAAAUUCGGCAGUUUUGUUGAUCUUUCUCGACUUGUAAUUUCGUUUCGUUUAGGUUAUGUCUUAUAAAAAUAAAUAUUUAUAAGCUUUUGAAUUGAAAUAUACCUUAAUGCAUAUCUGAGUAAUUAAAAAAUUCAGUUUUUUCGUCCCUCGCGAAGAAACAUAAACAGUAUUUGUGAAAUUUGGAUUAGAAACUAUUAUUUUAUUAGUUUAUUUUGUUGUGUUUAAGUGUUGUGUAUUUGUACCUACUGGAUAAUAUUUUCCAACAUAUUUAAUUAAGCAAAAAGCAUCUGUUUUACAGGUGUGACUGCUAAGUGGUCGUACUCGCCACUUUAACCAAGCAUUGGUGGGACCUUCAGAGAUCAUAAUGCGAAUUUCUUCAUACCAUGUAAAUCUAUAUACAUGUAUUAAUAAAUGCGUUUGCUUUA